UACGUAGGGGGCAAGCGUUGUCCGGAUUUAUUGGGCGUAAAGAGCGUGUAGGCGGCUUUGCAAGUCCGUUGUGAAAACUCGAGGCUCAACCUCGAGACGCCGGUGGAAACUGCAAAGCUAGAGUCCGGAAGAGGAGAGUGGAAUUCCUGGUGUAGCAGUGAAAUGCGCAGAUAUCGGGAAGAACACCCGUGGCGAAGGCGGCUCUCUGGGACGGUACUGACGCUGAGACGCGAAAGCGUGGGGAGCGAACAGG
rnacentral:rRNA from 1 species